rnacentral:rRNA from 1 species
AUUGAACGCUGGCGGCAUGCUUUACACAUGCAAGUCGAACGGUAACAGGGUGCUUGCACCGCUGACGAGUGGCGAACGGGUGAGUAAUGCGUCGGAACGCACCGAGUAAUGGGGGAUAACGCAGCGAAAGCUGUGCUAAUACCGCAUACGCUCUGAGGAGGAAAGCGGGGGACCUUCGGGCCUCGCGUUAUUCGAGCGGCCGACGUCUGAUUAGCUAGUAGGUGAGGUAAGAGCUCACCUAGGCGACGAUCAGUAGCGGGUCUGAGAGGAUGAUCCGCCACACGGGGACUGAGACACGGCCCAGACUCCAACGGGAGGCAGCAGUGGGGAAUUUUGGACAAUGGGCGCAAGCCUGAUCCAGCCAUGCCGCGUGUCUGAAGAAGGCCUUCGGGUUGUAAAGGACUUUUGUCAGGGAGGAAAUCCUUAGCGCUAAUACCGUUGAGGGAUGACAGUACCUGAAGAAUAAGCACCGGCUAACUACGUGCCAGCCGCCGCAGUAA